AUCAAUUAUAUUUUUUUCAUGUAUAAAUCUUCUUAUCUAUAUACCCAAGAUUCUAAUCAUUUUUUAACUAUCAUGAAAUACUUAUAUCCUACUAUAUUAUUUGGGAAGUACAUUUUAAAUGUAACCUUAUUUUUUGUAAGUAAUUACAUAGGUAUGCCAUUAGAAAGAAAAUUUAAAAAGUAAAUUAAUUCAUCUCUUCAAAAAUUAAAAAGUAAAAU
rnacentral:sRNA from 1 species